ACAUGAAGAAAACUUUAGUCCUUUAGAUUCUUAGCUAGAAAAGUGUUGUUCCACAAAAGUUUUAACAAUUACCCCACAAAUCCCUUAGAUUCUUGUUCAUUCUUUGGUCCUUUUUCUUCUCUUAUGCAAAUAGGAUUCUAAUUUCCACUUCCUCACUCCAAACCAUUUGCACAAUUGAACUCAUUUUCCAUCUAUUAAUUCUUUCAUAUACCGUGAAAGGCAUCCGCAUGCAAAAAGAAGACUCAUUGUUCUUCGGCUUAUUGAGCUUUUUCAAAUCUAAAAGAGCUAGGAAAGGAUAUCUUUAUGGGCAUGGUACCAGUUUGGAGGAGGUGUUAAGCACAAGUAAGCUGCGGCCAAGCGGUGAAGACAAAGGAUCUAUGGACAAAAUAAGAAGUUAGCAAAUCGUAGAGUCUCUCGCGAGAAUAGGCGAGAAGACCAAAUCGCAAUGCAAGAAGUAGUUGGCUAGACGACAAGAAUGGUAGUUGGAGACGAUGUGACAUGCCACAAAUACCUUUCAGCAUACAGUGCCAAAAUGUUCAGAAGAACAGAAGUUUUUGCCUCAAAAGCUGCCUAUAAAAAGUCUCAUUUACCAGAGUGGAGAUGACCUGUAUGGGCCAUGGUAGAGGCCUGUAUGGACCAUGCAUGGUAGAGGUCUAAAUGGACCACAAAGAAACCUAUAUGUCAAAACCUAAAGAGAGAGACGGGAAGGAAUGACCUUUUUUCCGCUUGUAAAGACCAUUCCCUUCUUCUCUGAUCAGUUUAUAGAGUGAGAGCUUAACUUUCAAGAGGAGAAGAUUUCAUACUUUCCAUUUUUCCUAACUUGUAAUAUUUUUCAUCUUCUUUGUCUUCCACUUUUGUAUUUCUCUGUAAUAUAUGUGUUUAUAUUAUGCAAUGGAUGAAGGCCUACAUUCUUCAAUAUAUUGCGUUAUAAUACCUUUUCAAUC